UACGUAGGUGGCAAGCGUUGUUGGGAAUUAUUGGGCGUAAAGCGCUCGCGGGCGGUUUGGUAAGUCUGAUGUGAAAGCCCACGGCUCAACCGUGGAGGGUAAUUGGAAACUGGGGAACUUGAGUGCAGAAGAGGAGAGUGGAAUUCCACGUGUAGCGGUGAAAUGCGUAGAUAUGUGGAGGAACACCAGUGGCGAAGGCGACUCUCUGGUCUGUAACUGACGCUGAGGCGCGAAAGCGUGGGGAGCGAACAGG
rnacentral:misc_RNA from 1 species